ACAUUUUGUGAUGUAUUUCACAUAGCAUCAAUGUUUGUUUUUGUAAAGUUUAAUAUCUGAUACGUCCCCUACCCGGGGACCAUAUAUUAAAUUGAUUUUUGGAACUGGGAGAUGGAAUAGGGGCUUGCUCCGUCCACUCCACGCAUCGACCUGGUAUUGCAGUACCUCCAGGAACGGUGCACCCCCC